AGAAUCAACGCUGGCGGCGUGCCUAACACAUGCAAGUCGAACGAGAAAGUGGAGCAAUCCAUGAGUAAAGUGGCGACCGGGUGAGUAACACGUGACUAACCUACCUUCGAGUGGGGGAUAACCUCGGGAAACCGAGGCUAAUACCGCAUAACAUCGCAAGAUCAAAGCAGCAAUGCGCUGGAAGAGGGGGUCGCGGCUGAUUAGCUAGUUGGCGGGUAACGCCCACCAAGGCGAAGAUCGGUA
rnacentral:rRNA from 1 species